GAUGAACGCUAGCGGGAGGCCUAACACAUGCAAGCCGAGCGGUAGAGUUUCUUCGGAAACUUGAGAGCGGCGCACGGGUGCGUAACACGUGUGCAACCUACCUUUAUCUGGGGGAUAGCCUUUCGAAAGGAAGAUUAAUACCCCAUAAUAUAAUGAUUGGCAUCAAUUAUUAUUGAAAACUCCGGUGGAUAGAGAUGGGCACGCGCAAGAUUAGAUAGUUGGUGAGGUAACGGCUCACCAAGUCAAUGAUCUUUAGGGGUCCUGAGAGGAGAUCCCCCACACUGGUACUGAGACACGGACCAGACUCCUACGGGAGGCAGCAGUGAGGAAUAUUGGACAAUGGGUGAGAGCCUGAUCCAGCCAUCCCGCGUGAAGGAUGACGGUCCUAUGGAUUGUAAACUUCUUUUGUACAGGGAUAAACCUACCCUCGUGAGGGUAGCUGAAGGUACUGUACGAAUAAGCACCGGCUAACUCCGUG
rnacentral:rRNA from 1 species